GGCCAGGAACUGCAGAAAGAUGCCUUUUCUCUGGAGGACUGCCUGAAAAUAAUUCAGCAUUUUGAUGAGAGUGGAACAGGCAGGCUGACACAAGAUGCUUUUAUGCAGUGUGUUGCUAAGAUCAAUGAAUGGGCGCGCAUAUUUAUAGACUAUGAUGCUGAUGUCUCUGGAACCAUGGAUGUCUAUGAAAUAUGUGGUGCCUUGGAGGCUGCAGGGUUCCACUUAAACAACGAGACCAUCAAGGCUCUUUUGGAGAAAUUCAGCAAUCGUUUCUAUCAGAUACACUUUGACAAAUUUGUAACUUGCCUGGUUCUCCUGGAAAGUGUUUUCCGUAA